UUGAACGCUGGCGGCAGGCCUAACACAUGCAAGUCGAGCGGUAACAGAAAGAAGCUUGCUUCUUUGCUGACGAGCGGCGGCCGGGUGAGUAAUGCUUGGGAACAUGCCUUGAGGUGGGGGACAACAGUUGGAAACGACUGCUAAUACCGCAUAAUGUCUACGGACCAAAGGGGGCUUCGGCUCUCGCCUUUAGAUUGGCCCAAGUGGGAUUAGCUAGUUGGUGAGGUAAUGGCUCACCAAGGCGACGAUCCCUAGCUGGUUUGAGAGGAUGAUCAGCCACACUGGGACUGAGACACGGCCCAGACUCCUACGGGAGGCAGCAGUGGGGAAUAUUGCACAAUGGGCGCAAGCCUGAUGCAGCCAUGCCGCGUGUGUGAAGAAGGCCUUCGGGUUGUAAAGCACUUUCAGUCAGGAGGAAAGGUUAGUAGUUAAUACCUGCUAGCUGUGACGUUACUGACAGAAGAAGCACCGGCUAACUCCGUG
rnacentral:rRNA from 1 species